UUUCUUGCCACUGUUUGUUCCAUCAGGCUCACUCGGAUGAGGCACUCUAUUUUGUGCAUCCCUCCAAAAUAAAUGCCUCAUCCUUGGGAGGCUGUUGAGAAAGAAAACCAGCCAAACCA
rnacentral:precursor_RNA from 15 species